GUUGACCUCGGAUCAGGUAGGAAUACCCGUGAACU
rnacentral:rRNA from 1 species